AACGUAGGAGACAAACGUUAUCCGGAGUUACUGGGCGUAAAGGGCGUGUAGGUGGUAGAGUAAGUCUGGCGUGAAAUUUUUCGGCUUAACCGGGAAAGGUCGUCGGAUACUGCUUAACUAGAGGACGGUAGAGGCGUGUGGAAUUCCGGGUGUAGUGGUGAAAUGCGUAGAGAUCCGGAGGAACACCAGUGGCGAAGGCGACACGUUGGGCCGUACCUGACACUGAUGCGCGACAGCAUGGGGAGCAAACAGG
rnacentral:rRNA from 1 species